AUAGCGUAUAUUAAAGUUGUUGCAGUUAAAAAGCUCGUAGUUGAACUUCUGUACGUGUCAUGUUCUGGUCUUGAUCAAGCAUCGAUGCGUGCAUCCGCUUGCAAACUUGGCCCGGCCUUUACUGGUCGACCAAGGGAGUAGGCCUUUUACUUUGAAAAAAUUAGAGUGUUUCAAGCAGGCAAUGGCUCGAAUACAUUAGCAUGGAAUAAUGGAAUAGGACUUUUGUCCAUUUGGUUGGUUAUUGGACAUGAGUAAUGAUUAACAGGGACAGUUGGGGGCAUUAGUAUUUAAUUGUCAGAGGUGAAAUUCUUGGAUUUAUUAAAGACUAACCUAUG
rnacentral:rRNA from 1 species